rnacentral:rRNA from 1 species
GACGAACGCUGGCGGCGUGCUUAACACAUGCGAGUCGAACGGAAAGGCCCUGCUUGCAGGGUACUCGAGUGGCGAACGGGUGAGUAACACGUGGGUGAUCUGCCCUGCACUUCGGGAUAAGCCUGGGAAACUGGGUCUAAUACCGGAUAGGAGCCAUUUUUAGUGUGAUGGUUGGAAAGUUUUUUCGGUGUAGGAUGAGCUCGCGGCCUAUCAGCUUGUUGGUGGGGUAAUGGCCUACCAAGGCGGCGACGGGUAGCCGGCCUGAGAGGGUGGACGGCCACAUUGGGACUGAGAUACGGCACAGACUCCUACGGGAGGCAGCAGUGGGGAAUAUUGCACAAUGGGCGCAAGCCUGAUGCAGCGACGCCGCGUGGGGGAUGACGGCCUUCGGGUUGUAAACUCCUUUCGCUAGGGACGAAGCUUUUUGUGACGGUACCUAGAUAAGAAGCACCGGCUAACUACGUG